GGUUGGUCCGAUGGUAGUGAUGUUUACAAUUAAUUGAUCACAACCAGUCACAGAUUUCUUUGUUCCUUCUCCACUUCCACUACUUCACUUGAACAGCCGUCC
rnacentral:Y_RNA from 1 species